UACGAAGGGGGGCUAGCGUUGCUCGGAAUCACUGGGCGUAAAGGGCGCGUAGGCGGCCAUUCAAGUCGGGGGUGAAAGCCUGUGGCUCGACCACAGAAUUGCCUUCGAUACUGUUUGGCUUGAGUAUGGUAGAGGUUGGUGGAACUGCGAGUGUAGAGGUGAAAUUCGUAGAUAUUCGCAAGAACACCGGUGGCGAAGGCGGCCAACUGGACCAUUACUGACGCUGAGGCGCGAAAGCGUGGGGAGCAAACAGG
rnacentral:rRNA from 1 species